UACGUAGGGUGCGAGCGUUGUCCGGAAUUAUUGGGCGUAAAGAGCUCGUAGGCGGCUUGUCACGUCGGGUGUGAAAGACCGGGGCUUAACCCCGGUUCUGCAUUCGAUACGGGCUGGCUAGAGUGUGGUAGGGGAGAUCGGAAUUCCUGGUGUAGCGGUGAAAAUGCGCAGAUAUCGGGAGGAACACCGGUGGCGAAGGCGGCUCUCUCGGACCACUACUGACGCUGAGGCGCGAAAAGCUAGGGGAGCAACAGG
rnacentral:rRNA from 1 species